ACGCCGCGUGGAGGAUGAAGGUCUUUGGAUUGUAAACUUCUGUUAAUUGAGAAAAAAUGAUAAAAAAUAAUACUUUUUGUACAUGAUGUUAUCAAUUUAGAAAGCCCCGGACUAACUUCGUGCCAGCAGCCGCGGUAAUACGAAGGGGGCAAGCGUUAUUCGGAAUUAUUGGGCGUAAAGGAUGUGUAGGCGGCAUUAUAAGUUUAUUGUUUAAUUUCCCAGCCUAACUGGGAGCAUGCGAUAAAUACUGUAUUGCUAGAGUAUGAUAGAGAGAGGUGGAAUUUUCGGAGUAGCGGUUAAAUGCGUAGAUCUCGAAAGGAGCGCCAAUGGCGAAGGCAGCCUCUUGGGUCAUUACUGACGCUGAAACAUGAAGGCGUGGGGAGCAAACAGGAUUAGAUACCCUGGUAGUCCACGCAGUAAACGAUGAUCACUAAGCGUCUGGAAUUUAUUCUGGGUGCUGCAGCUAACGCGUUAAGUGGUCCGCCUGGGUAUUACGAUCGCAAGAUUAAAACUUAAAGAAAUUGACGGAGGUCCGCACAAGCGGUGGAACAUGUGGUCUAAUUCGAUACUACGCG
rnacentral:rRNA from 1 species